rnacentral:rRNA from 1 species
GAGUUUGAUCGUGGCUCAGGAUGAACGCUGGCGGCGUGCCUAACACAUGCAAGUCGAGCGAAGCAGUUCGGAGGAAGUUUUCGGAUGGAAUCUGAGCUGACUGAGCGGCGGACGGGUGAGUAACGCGUGGGUAACCUGCCUCAUACAGGGGGAUAACAGCUAGAAAUGGCUGCUAAUACCGCAUAAGCGCACGGCACCGCAUGGUGCAGUGUGAAAAGCCGAGACGGUAUGAGAUGGACCCGC